UACGUAGGAGGCGAGCGUUGUCCGGAUUUACUGGGCGUAAAGCGCGCGCAGGCGGCACACUAAGUACGAUGUGAAAUCUCCCUGCUCAACGGGGAGGGUGCACUGUAAACUGGUGAGCUAGAGGACGGUAGAGGGGGGUGGAAUUGCUGGUGUAGCGGUGAAAUGCGUAGAGAUCAGCAGGAACACCCGUGGCGAAGGCGGCCCCCUGGGCCGUACCUGACGCUGAGGCGCGAAGGCUAGGGGAGCGAACGGG
rnacentral:rRNA from 1 species